GACUGCUUGGCGCAAUGGUAGCGCGCGGUCCUCCUACUACAACGGGUUAUCCCUUGUUAUAGGCAGUGAUAGACUGAGGUUGCGGGUUCGAGUCCCGUGGUGGUCG